rnacentral:rRNA from 1 species
CGGCGAACGGUCGAGUAACACGUAACCAACUUGCCCCAGAGUCUGGGAUAGCCCUUCGAAAGAGGGAGUAAUACCGGAUGGCCUCACGGGAAGACAUCUUUUUGUGAGUAAAGGCUUGUACGCUUUGGGAGAGGGUUGCGUCCUAUCAGCUGGUUGGCGGGGUAACGGCCCACCAAGGCGACGACGGGUAGCUGGUCUGAGAGGAUGAUCAGCCGGAUUGGGACUGAGACACGGCCCAA